rnacentral:sRNA from 1 species
AUUUUAGCCCCGGUGCCUGACUUGAGUUUGGAAUCUGGAUUGAUUCUCUGGAAUAAUUAAUGAUACGUAUGGCAUGGCUUAUCCACACUUCAACAAGAACUUCGUUUUCCCACUGGAUGAUAUGCCUUUCCCUGAGUCCUCUAUGGCUACCCUCUCUCGCCUCUUCUAGUACUGCAGGUAUCAACCUCUACCGCCGGCGAAGCAGAAUCGCACUUCGUCGUCGGCCACCCCUAUAUCAACAUCGUAACCUUCGACGCUAUGGCCCCACCACCUUAACCCCCUUACAUCCGGGUCGUCAUCAUUGGAAAUAAGCUAACAAUAUCACAGGCUCACUGGCAAGAACCCCUGCCGGCCUCCUCCAUGAAUAUAUUCCAUAUCCUACUUUUUGACGGGGAUGCUACUUUGGACGGGGAGGGGUGUCUUUAACUGCGAAGUCAGACUAAUAGGUCUACCAAGUCAAGCGCCCAUCCAGCAACAUGAGACCUUCCAGCACUACACUUCAACCCGGGCGGCUUUCCUGGAGUGAUAUGAGGAGUCAAAGGCGAUUAGGGGUAUGCGACCGGGAUUGUUGGGCCUGAUCCGAUGCAGGUAAACCUACGCAGCUUCCAUAGAAGCGCCAGUACCUGUUGAAGAUAAACAUCAUGCGUAGACAAAUAGAGAAAAUACAGCUGGGAAAUCAGAGUUAGUGGAACAGCAGGCUGUGAAGGAAGAGCAGGGGGUUUAAAAGGCCCGAACUCUCAAGUCGGCCGUGUCUCAAGGACAAGUUGAGGGCUCCAAGACUCAUCGUACAUCGUAUACUGCAUGCAUGCAUUAUAUUCUCAUCCU